rnacentral:lncRNA from 1 species
GCAGGCCUGCCUUGGGGAACAUUCAUCUCAUUAAAGUUAAAUCACGUUUCCCUGUCUGCAUGUCUCCUCCCCACAGGAAUGUAACCUCCCAGAGGGAAAGAUUGAAGGCAAGAGGAGAAGGGGAUGACAGAGGAUGAGAUGGCUGGAUGGCAUCACCGUCUCUACGCACAUGAGUUUGGGUGGACUCCAGGAGUUGGCGAUGGACAGGGAGGCCUGGCGUGCUGCUGUCCAUGGGGUCACAAAGAACAGGACACGACUGAGCGACUGAACUGAGAGGGAAGCCACUCUCCUUUAUCUCGAAUCUCCUGUGCCCCGGGAGAGGGUACAGCCAGUUUUGCUCCAUCAGUGGUUGUCUAGGUACUUAUAAAGGCAACGUACCGCAUUUCACACUUACACAGCCCUUCCGAGUUCACAGCGCGGCACCCGGAUUCCUGCAAAACCUCCCCUGUUUGGGACGCACCAGCCUUCGUUUCACCCCGAGAAGAGCAAGGUCUGUGCAGUGCUGUCAAGCCCCAGAGCCCAGAGCUGAGCUGAAGGGGUCUUCCCCAGUCACUGGGACCAAAGAUAGUGGGUGGCAGCAAAGAGCUCAGAGGAGGAAAUUUUUUCUUCUUGCUUGUUUUAUGGUUCUUAGGGUGUUACCAUAACAGCAUGAAUUCCUCCCUGAACUCAGCAGAACAUAUGGGAAAACCUAUACUUAGCUUAUCAUUUCAAACCCUUCCUCCCCCACACCCUUCUUCCCCUCCAGGAGGCCUCAAUAUGGUACCAGUUCUGUAGGUAAAAUAAAAAAUGCUGAAUUGAGUGAAGUGGUCGCUCUUCCAGACUCAUGGGCGAGCAGUGAUGUGUCCUGAGCUUUGACUGGAGUUACAAUUGAGCACUAACCUGCAAAGACAAAAUUGUUCUCACAGGGGUUGUUGUAUUACACACAGAAGGGGAAACACAGCCACCACAUCGGACUCAAGGGUGGAGCCACCAGAACAGAUAUGACUGUGGCCAAAAAUGGCCAGAAAAUAUGCAACACAAAGAGAGGACACAGAGAAAUCCUUACAAUUGGUCAUAAAUGUCAAAACAGACCACACGAGAAGGUGCUUCUCUGCUGAAAAACAGACAGUGUUUAUGAGUUGAUCUCAUACAGGAAAUCAUCACACUGCUCUUUUAAACCAUCGAGUCUAAGGGUCUGUAGAUCAGAUUUUUACAAGUAUCAGUUAGGAUGUCAGAUCGUUAUGCUCGUGCCCUCAACACUCACAGUAAGUAACUGAAGCUUCCUGGUUUGGGUCUCGAAUGGAUACAAGGCAGCAUCACUCCAAACAUUAUUGAAUUCUAAGCCAUCAGCUGUUCUUUUAGUGUCUAAGUCAUUUCUAGGAUGGCACAAGUCCAAGUCUAAUUCAUUAAAACAGAAGAAAUCUAUAAACACCUGCAUGUAAUUGAUUAGUAAGUUGGGGUUUCUUUAACUGGUUGUUUAUUCCUCUGUUAAAAACAACACACUAAAGCAAAGAACCAACAAUGGCACGUCAUUGACAUUUUGCCAAAUUAUUAGACUUAUUUUUGUAAAGUGGGUUGUUUUACUUGGGAUGUCAGCUUCAGAGCCCCUAAAACCUACCCUCUGUGUAAGUGCUGUACUCUUUUGAUCUUGUUCAUUGGACUGAGAAUUGUGAGGGCCUUGGACAGCGUUGCUUUUUACAUAGAAAUCAACUGAGUGAAAAAAGACGGGUUUUAAGGGCAAAUUAUCUAAUUUGUGUUUCUGGAGAUGUUAAAUACACUCUUCACUCCCAAAGAGUAGAGGCUGAUCUUCCCCCAUUCUGAUGUCCCUGCUUC